rnacentral:rRNA from 1 species
AGCGAACGCUGGCGGCAGGCCUAACACAUGCAAGUCGAACGAACCUUCCGGGGUUAGUGGCGGACGGGUGAGUAGCACGUGGGAACGUGCCUUUAAGUUCGGAAUUACUCAGGUAAACUUGUGCUAAUACCGAAAGUGCCACUCGGGGGCCAGAUUUGUCGCAUUUAGAACGGCACGCGUCCGAUUAGCCAGGUGGUUGUGGUAAUGGCGCACCAAGGCGACGAUCAGUAGCGGGUCUGAGAGGAUGAUCAGCCACAUUUGGACUGGGACACAGUGCAGACUACUACGGGAGGCGGGAGAGGGGGAUCUAGCGCAACGGGGGAGAGCCUGACGCCGCCAUGGCGGGUGAAUCAUGUUGUUCUUAGAGAAAUAAAAUUCUUUCACCGGGGACGAUAAUGACGGUACCCAAAGAAGAAGCCCCGGCUAACUUCGUG